UCGAGCUUGGCAUCGGGCGCCGGCAGGUGUCCGGCGUCGCUUGUAUCCAUGUUGCUCUAUGGAGGAUGUGGCUAUGAGAA
rnacentral:sRNA from 1 species